GAAUCUUGCGCAAUGGGCGAAAGCCUGACGCAGCCAUGCCGCGUGUAUGAUGAAGGUCUUAGGAUUGUAAAAUACUUUCACCGGUGAAGAUAAUGACUGUAGCCGGAGAAGAAGCCCCGGCUAACUUCGUGCCAGCAGCCGCGGUAAUACGAAGGGGGCUAGCGUUGCUCGGAAUUACUGGGCGUAAAGGGAGCGUAGGCGGACAUUUAAGUCAGGGGUGAAAUCCCGGAGCUCAACUCCGGAACUGCCCUUGAUACUGGGUGUCUUGAGUGUGAGAGAGGUAUGUGGAACUCCGAGUGUAGAGGUGAAAUUCGUAGAUAUUCGGAGGAACACCAGUGGCGAAGGCGGCUCACUGGCUCGAUACUGACGCUGAGGUGCGAAAGUGUGGGGAGCAAACAGG
rnacentral:rRNA from 1 species